AGAGUUUGAUCCUGGCUCAGGACGAACGCUGGCGGCGUGCCUAAUACAUGCAAGUCGAGCGAAUCUUUUGGGACUUGUCCCUUAAGAUUAGCGGCGGACGGGUGAGUAACACGUGGGUAACCUGCCUGUAAGACUGGGAUAACUUCGGGAAACCGGAGCUAAUACCGGAUAAUUUCUUUUCUCGCAUGAGAGAAGAUGGAAAGAUGGUUUCGGCUAUCACUUACAGAUGGACCCGCGGCGCAUUAGCUAGUUGGUGAGGUAACGGCUCACCAAGGCAACGAUGCGUAGCCGACCUGAGAGGGUGAUCGGCCACACUGGGACUGAGACACGGCCCAGACUCCUACGGGAGGCAGCAGUAGGGAAUCUUCCGCAAUGGACGAAAGUCUGACGGAGCAACGCCGCGUGAACGAAGAAGGCCUUCGGGUCGUAAAGUUCUGUUGUUAGGGAAGAACAAGUACGAGAGUAACUGCUUGUACCUUGACGGUACCUAACCGGAAAGCCACGGCUAACUACGUGCCAGCAGCCGCGGUA
rnacentral:rRNA from 1 species